GUAGUAAACUGAAAUGGCUAUAUAUGUUUUUUUUUUUUAAAGAGAAAACAGCUAGCUAUCUGCUUUGUUCAAAUUUUUUUUAAAAUAAAUCUAAAUAAAAAUGUAAAAUAAUUACAUUUCAAACUUAAAAUCUUCAGAUACUAACUAUCGAGUUCUUAGCCAAUUACGUUACGUACGACCAAUAAUACAAUAUUAUAAAGA
rnacentral:lncRNA from 1 species